AUUUUUACAGUUAGUCAAAUUUUGAAUUAAUCUUCAAAACUUUCAACAACGGAUCUCUUGGUUCUCGCAUCGAUGAAGAACGCAGCGAAAUGCGAUAAGUAAUAUGAAUUGCAGAUUUUCGUGAAUCAUCGAAUCUUUGAACGCACAUUGCGCCCUCUGGUAUUCCAGAGGGCAUGCCUGUUUGAGCGUCAUUUCUCUCUCAAACCCCCGGGUUUGGUAUUGAGUGAUACUCUUAGUCGGACUAGGCGUUUGCUUGAAAAGUAUUGGCAUGGGUAGUACUAGAUAGUGCUGUCGACCUCUCAAUGUAUUAGGUUUAUCCAACUCGUUGAAUGGUGUGGCGGGAUAUUUCUGGUAUUGUUGGCCCGGCCUUACAACAACCAAACAAGUUUGACCUCAAAUCAGGUAGGAAUACCCGCUGAACUUAAGCAUAUCAAUAAGCGGAGGAA
rnacentral:rRNA from 1 species